CUACAGUUGCAGCAUGUCUCCUAAAAUCCAGCCUUCAUUAAAAUCGAUAGAAACACAAACCAAUACUGUUACAUCAAAAAGUUCUCUACUUCAUUGCUUCACACACAAGCUUUUUUUCUGCAACACUAUUCUUUCCGAGACCCGCCAUCCCCACAGUCGAGACGACUGGAAUAACUCGUUGAUUUAAGAAGCAAUCCCAUAACUCUAGACACAUCUUCCUCCAUUUCUAUAACAAUUUCCGAGCUGUCAAAGAAGGAAUCUGUCUCUGGGUCUUGAUCCCAGCUAACUUCAUGAGUUCUAUUUGCAGAUGUAAUUCCAAGCCCACGGCCAACUUACUGAAAGUUUCUUGAUUUCACUGAGGGCUCUAUUAAUUUUUCAUAUCAAAUGCAACAGGAUUGUGCAGUGAAAAGAAAUCCCACUCCUCUCCCUUCUGUUUGUCUUUGCGAAGCGCCUCAUAAGCGAAAUCGUCUGAAACUUCUUCGGCAUUAUAACCUAUGCAUCUUGGAGAACAGCUUUCGACUCGUUUGCAUUUUGCAGCUGUCCUUUCAAUCCCCACGCAACUCUGAUCCCUUCAGCAGCAAAGGAACCCACCCUUCCAAUGUCCCCUCCUAGGCGAACUUGGGAAACUAAGCUGCCAUUGUCUUUACUUUGGGCAAAUUUUUUUUUAUAAAAAAACUUGUUUAUCUCGAAAAUAAGGGGGAAUGCUCUGAUAUUUUUGGAAUGAUUAUGAAAGGAAAAUUAAGAGUGAUCAGCAACAAAGCAACAUCAACAGGAGAGAUGAAAAUUAAGUGUGAUCAACCACAAAGCAACAUCAACGGGAGAGCAGAGCCGGUUCCCUAUAGGAGAUUGCGUGAUGACAGAUUUAUUAAAGGGCGACUCUAAGAGUGGUUCCAAAGGCACUUUCAGAACAUAUCCCGUAAAUAAAAAACACGGACGUCGAUUUCUUAGAUGUCCAUUACUUUCUAGGGAGCAAAUGUUCUAGCAUACUCUUGAAGACCUCACAGCAAAUGCAAAGUUGCCCGAGUCAACCUUGUAACUAGAGAACCUGUUACAUGAAUAUGUGUUUUUUUGCAAGUUUUUCCCAGGACUCUACCAAUGGGAAUGAUUGAUUACCCACAUAAACAUAAUCUACAGAAUCAGGGAUCGAAUCUGAGAUUCAUUUAGAUAUAGAAAACCAGCAUUUCAAGUCAAACUGCACCAUGUAAAAUAAAUCAGGCCUUUAAAACAAGCUUGCUUGCUACAUUGAUAGAUCAGACCUUUAAUUUGAAAAAAUAUGACUGUAGCAAAAAUAAGAAUAACGAAAAAAGCCAUAAUUGCACAAGUCGAUGCAACGCCUUGGCUUAAACUCUAAGAAACUCAUUUUUGACAGUGUACAAAAUCUACUGUCUGUUGCUUCAAAUUACCUCGCUCUAAACAAUUAAUGAUGUUAAGUCUUAUAUAAUACACACUUGCAUGUUGACUAGAUAGAAAUAUCACAAAUUGAAAACCAAAAAUCUAAAAAACAAGCGUAAUUCAACAAAUUUAUGCUAGAAAGUCGAUGGUCCAACUAAAUGAUCUAAUUGUAAAUUUCACUACAGAAUGAGUUGGGCUCCAUAGCAAUC